AGCGAACGCUGGCGGCAGGCUUAACACAUGCAAGUCGAGCGGGCACUUUCGGGUGUCAGCGGCGGACGCGUGAGUAACGCGUGGGAACGUGCCCUCUGGUUCGGAAUAACUCAGGGAAACUUGAGCUAAUACCGGAUACGCCCUUUUGGGGAAAGGCUUGCUGCCGGAGGAUCGGCCCGCGUCUGAUUAGCUAGUUGGUGAGGUAACGGCUCACCAAGGCGACGAUCAGUAGCUGGUCUGAGAGGAUGAUCAGCCACACUGGGACUGAGACACGGCCCAGACUCCUACGGGAAGCAGCAGUGGGGAAUAUUGGACAAUGGGCGCAAGCCUGAUCCAGCCAUGCCGCGUGAGUGAUGAAGGCCUUAGGGUUGUAAAGCUCUUUUAUCCGGGACGAUAAUGACGGUACCGGAGGAAUAAGCCCCGGCUAACUUCGUG
rnacentral:rRNA from 1 species